rnacentral:lncRNA from 1 species
GAUAUCCCAUAGACCAAUCCGAUGUGACAAUUAAUUUUUUUUUUUACCCGUGAACUAAACAAGGCCUUAGUGCAUAUAUUAUAUGGUAUUAUGGUAACAUACUAUAGAUGAUAUGGUAGGUUCAGUUUUAUUUUUCACCGCUACGGUACUCUCGAUAGAAAAUAUAACACAUAUAUAUAGGACGAGCAACGUCAACUCGUUAGUUGGCAAAGGGCGUCAGAAAGAAAGGAACGAAAAAGGUUGGAAAGCGAGUGACAUGGCCUGCCUCAAAUUAUUGAUUCAUCACACACGAACAGGAUAUACACUCCUCACUUAACCGCCAACGCCACCAAACCUGCUGCUCAUGGAUCUUGGCAAUCUCUAGGUAUUGUAGCUAUAUAUUAUGCAAUUAAUUAUGCAUGCGACGAUCGAGCUGAGGUUCUAUAUAUACAUUAUUCUAGCUAUAU